AGGAAGACUACCUGGUCGAUAGGUUGGAGGUCUAAGCAUGGUAACAUGUUCAGCCGACCAAUACUAAUCUGCCGUGAGGCUUGACCAU
rnacentral:rRNA from 1 species